UUUUUGGAUUUGUAGUGUUUAUUGCGUGUAGCUACCUUAUUUGUUACUACUUUCCUUUAAUUGAGCCAAAUCUCGACAUGCCUAUGAAAUCCCCGAUUUCAGCCUCCUCGAGAAUCUCCUCUCCGGCGAAUUUCUGGCGGAAAUCUCUGACACUCUACCGACAGACUCGUAUAAUAUAAUUGAUACAUUUUUUAUUUUAAAAUAAAAACU
rnacentral:lncRNA from 1 species